GACGAACGCUGGCGGCGUGCCUAAUACAUGCAAGUAGAACGCUGAAGAGAGGAGCUUGCUCUUCUUGGAUGAGUUGCGAACGGGUGAGUAACGCGUAGGUAACCUGCCUUGUAGCGGGGGAUAACUAUUGGAAACGAUAGCUAAUACCGCAUAACAAUGGAUGACACAUGUCAUUUAUUUGAAAGGAGCAAUUGCUCCACUACAAGAUGGACCUGCGUUGUAUUAGCUAGUAGGUGAGGUAAUGGCUCACCUAGGCGACGAUACAUAGCCGACCUGAGAGGGUGAUCGGCCACACUGGGACUGAGACACGGCCCAGACUCCUACGGGAGGCAGCAGUAGGGAAUCUUCGGCAAUAGGGGCAACCCUGACCGAGCAACGCCGCGUGAGUGAAGAAGGUUUUCGGAUCGUAAAGCUCUGUUGUAAGUCAAGAACGGGUGUGAGAGUGGAAAGUUCACACUGUGACGGUAGCUUACCAGAAAGGGACGGCUAACUACGUG
rnacentral:rRNA from 1 species